GGCAAAGCAGGGACUGUGCUGUCACAUGCUACUGAAGCAAACAAAAAUCCUAUUGUAUGGGGUGAGGGGUGGGGAAAAAGGAAAAUGAACAAGGUGAGGCAGUGAGGAAGGAAGUACACGUUAGCAUAACCCGCCGUUUAUGGGUUUAAUGUGUGCCCAUGGGUGUGUGCAGGUGCACUCAGGGCACUGUGUUGUGGUCUGCUGCCUGGAGGCAGACCAGGGCUUGUGCGUGGCUUUUGGCUAGAGUUACUCACAGGUGACCCACGGAGUCAGUGCAGGGGCUAUGAGAAUUUGCAUUUGCAUCAAAACGAUGCAGAAUCAAGACUGAAAGAAGUUAAGUAACUUCACUCUAGAUCAUCUGGUAGAGGGUAUAAAGGAGAUCUAGCCCUGGGAAGUUAGGCUCUAAAACCUGUGCCGUUCCUAUGAAAGCACAUUUCCUUCAUAAAAGGGUAAAUCAAAGUGAAAGAAGUCAUUAAGUCAGGUAACAAAUACUUAUCAAGUGCCUGUUGUUUGCUGGACAUAGCAGGAGUGCUCCCAGGCAAGGAAUAGACACCUAUUUUUCAGACUUCUGAUCUCUUUGGGGAUUGCCAAAAUGACCUCAAGUAGUGAAGAUAUAGUGGAAUAAUCUGUAUUUCUGCUGACCUUGAUGACAUUUGGAUCUCAUUUGAGGUACUAAGAAGAAUAAGCAAUUGGUUUGAAAAAAGCCCUUUUAAGAGCAAAAUGAAUUCUGCUAAAGUUGAAGCAGGAACAAAUAUCAAAUUUAUGGUGAAGCUCAGGUGGAAGAAUGAUGAAAUCACUGAUGCUUUACAAGAAGUUUAUGGGGACAAUGCCUUAAAGAAAUCAGCAGUUUACAAAUGGAUAACUUGUUUUAGGAAAGGAUGAGAUGCUGAAGAUAAAUCCUGCAGUGGCAAAUUCAUCCACAUCAAUUUGUAAGGAAAAAAUUUAUCUUCUUCAUGCCCUAACUAACCAACAUUUAAUAGCUUGGACAAUAGCCAACACCACAGACAUCUCAAUUAGUUCAGCUUACACAAUCCUGACUAAAAAAUCAAAGUUGAGCACCUUCCACUCAAUUGGUGCCAAAACCAUGGCACCCAGAUCAACUGCAGACAAGAGUGGAGCUUUCCAUGAAUAUUUUAAACAACUGGGAUCAAGAUCCUGUAGCAUUUCUCAAAGAAUAGUAACAAGAGAUGAAACAUAGCUUUACCAGUAUGAUCCUGAAGACAAAGCACAAUCAAAGCAAUGGCUACCAAGAGGUGGAGUGGUCCAGUCAAAGCAAAAGCAGACCAGUCAAAAGCAAGGGUCAUGGCAACAGUGUUUUGGGAUGCCCAAGGCACUUUGUUUGCUGACUUGCUGGAAGGCCAAAAAACGAUCACAUCUGCUUAUUAUGAGAGUGUUCUGAGAAAGUUAGCCAGAGCUUUAGUAGAAAAAUGCCUGGGAAAGCUCCACCAAAGAGUCCUUCUCUACCAUGACAAUGCUCCUGCUCAUUCAUCUCAUCAAACAAGAGGAAAUUUGUGACAGUUUCAAUGGGAAAUCAAUAGGCAUCCACCUUAUAGUCCUGAUUUGGCUCCUUUUAACCUGUUUUUGUUUCUUAGUCUUUUUUUAAAAAAAUCUUUAAAGGGCAAUCAUUUUUCUUCGGUAAAUAAUGUAGAGUGCAUUGACAUGGUUAAAAAGACUGCAUUGACAUGGUUAAAUUACCAGAACUCUCAGUACAUUAGGUAUGGAUUAAAUGGCUGAUAUAUCACUUUCUCAUCAAUUUCAAGACAUUUUUGUUUUCUCAUAUGAUGCAUCAUGAAGCAAAGAUGACUGAAGUGCCUCUUUGUACCUGAUAGUUUCCCAAUGUGUUUUUAUAAUUUUAGGUUCUAAGCUUAUUUUUAAUAUGUAUGUGUUUCUCCUGUAGAAAAUCUUGGUUGAUAAUUUGUCCUUUUGCUACUUCUAGGCUUCCCAGGAUAUCCCAAUUUCAGAGCACUUUUUAUGUUAAUUUCUCACUUAGAGGUUGGCAAACCUCACAUAUAUUACCUAUUUCAAUUAUAAGCCCCCAAAUUUAUGUGAGGGGAGGCAUGGUUACAAACUCAUAGGGAAGACAUUUUCCUCUUUACUUAGAGCCCAAACCAAGACAUUCAUUUAUGCAAUAAAAGCUUACUAAGUUACUGUGCUAAAGACUAGGGAUGUCAUAAGAAACAGGCAAAAUCUCUGCUCUCAUGAAAGUUAUAUUUUGGAAGAAUAUCCUUGUGCUGAUGGGGAAAUUUUCUAGUCCUCCAGCAGGAAUCUCAGUUUUCACUCCCUGACUCCAUUAGGCUCAUGGCCUCAUUUCAUAUUCUUUUAUGGUUAUUAUAACCCAUUUCCAUGAUUACCAAGGCUGGCAAUAUUCUUUCCUCCACCAUCUUCAAAUUGACCUUACCAUUUUAUUUUGCCUUCUUCAUUUUUGGCAAGUAGGAGCUUGGCUUACUUUAUUGUAAGCUCAGCUAUACAUUUAAAAGUAAAUAUACAAUUUCUUUUCAUCAUUUCUAUGGGUUUGGUGGCACAGGGAGUUACAAUAUCUGGUCUACCACAUUGCAGGAACUAGAUUUCCCCAGAUGACUAACUCUUCAGUCAAAAGUCUUCUUUUUUCCCCGCCUCAAACACUUUAGAUUUACUUAUGCCACUGUGGAAAAUUAUUUCCACUGUCCUUGAAGUCCCCUUUCCCAGGUUUUCCCUCUGCUGUUUUUUUCUAAUCUUUCACGGUGUGCUCAAAUGUUACCUCUUCAAAGAGGCUUUCCUGGAAAACCUCACCUUGAGCACUCUAUCUCACUCACUAAUUUCUUUGUUUUUUUUCUUAUUUAUAACUUUAUCAGUAUUUUGAAUUAUUAUACUUAUUUAUUUACUUACUUGUUGAUCAUGCCUCUAUUCCACUGUAAUGCAACUUCCAUGACAGCAUGAUCUUUUUUGUCUUGUUUAUCAUUAUUUCUCUAGGGUCAGUCUACCACUACUUUUAUUGUCUUGGCAGAAUUAGGUGUCUCCUGAGGUGAUGCAAAAAGAAAAGACAUUAUCAGUGAUGGCUUCUAACCAAGGAUUCAAGGCUUCUGAUUUAAAUUCUAUAUUAUAGCCAUCACAGGGGUGAAGGCACAAAGUAAAUGACACCAGAAAGAGGAUUUAACACAAAAUCCGAAACUUGGGAUAUUUCACAGGAUAAAUUGCUGAGCCUCUUCAGCAAAUAAGUGUCUAGCAAAUCCUGUAUUAGUAUCUUUAGUGAUCAUACCUGAAUUUGCUCUCCAAAGGCACCAUAUCUAUACAUUCUUAGUAUCCUAUCUGUUUUAAGCAGAUAAUAAAGUCAGCUAAACCUUCCCUUACUGUUACACACUGAGUAAGUGCAAUUUGGAUGGUUUGAAGAUAUUAAAUCUUUCAGCCCAGAUUUAAGAAUACCUGUUUGAGAGAAAUUACAAGAGCUUUUAAUGCUUGCUACAGAAAGGUAAUGUCUUAUCUUUUCUGUUUAGUAUUUUGCAUUCCAAAAAAUGAGAAAAGUUAUUCCAUAAGUUGAUAAUUGAAUAAAAGAAUCAAAACAUG
rnacentral:lncRNA from 1 species